AUACCUUUCUCGGCCUUUUGGCUAAGAUCAAGUGUAGUAUUUGUUCUUAUCAGUUUAAUAUCUGAUAUGUGGACCAAUCUAUAUUAAAUUUAUUUUUAAGGGGGAAGUCCCACCCCAGUAGCUUGCUUCUGGGGUCUUCAAGCGCGCCCAUGCGUUGCACUAUUGCACGGGCCUGGCGUACCCCAC
rnacentral:snRNA from 1 species